rnacentral:snRNA from 10 species
GGAUGUGAGGGCAAUCUGGUUGCAACAUCUGUCACCCCAUUAUCACCAGGGUUGAUUCAGCUGAUAUGGCUGGCUAGGCGGGUGUCCCCUUCCUCACGGCUCCAUGUGUGUCCCUCCAGAAGCUGUGCACUUGGUGGAAGAGGAUGACCAUACCACGUAGAGGAGGACCGGUCUUCCGUCAAGGGUAUACGAGUAGCUGCAUUCCCCUGCUAGAACCUCCAAACAAGCUCUCAAGAAAUAGCACUUGCCUGGAAACAUUUUACUUAAAAAUCCUGCUUU